AUUGCUGCUAUAAACAUUGGAGUACAGAGGUCCCUUCGGAUCACUACAUUUAUGUCUUUGGGUGUUUCCUGCCUUGUGAAGCUGGACCUCUCUAAAGUUCCUGGCUUCGGAAUAAGGGGAAUUUCCAAUAGAAGACCAAGCCAAAACCAGCCCUCAAUUGAGAAUAAAGGGCUCCUUCUUCUGCUUUGUUUCCAA